GCGAAGGUGGCGGAAUUGGUAGACGCGCUAGCUUCAGGUGUUAGUGUCCUUAGUCCCCCCCCUCGCACCA
rnacentral:tRNA from 1 species